GGCCCGCUCCGCGCCUCCCUCCAUGUUGCCGCGCGCUGCCCCUCCUGCUUUCUCCGCCCGCCGCAUUGUCGCCCCGCCGCGGCUCCGCGGCCCGCGCUGUCCCCCCGGGCCGGGCAGGAGAGAGGAGAGUCCUUGCCUUCUUCCUGGAAAGAAGAAAGACAACUUGAAGCCCCUCACCAGGGCACUUUCCCCUCUCUUGUGGCUGAACAGCAGCAUUUCUGGCCCUGUACAGUGCUACAAAAGCUGAAGUCCACUUCCAGGAGCAGUGAAUUCUCCACAGCCCUCUUGGCAGGUGGACUAUGUCGAAACAUCUGUCCCUCACCGGAAGAGAAUAGCAUCUCCUGUAGAUUAUCUUGCACAUAGACAAACAGACUGAAACAACUAAUGAAAUAAUAAUAAAUUAUCU